ACAUCCAGAGAACUUAGCAGAGAUGCUUUGGUGCCUUCGGGAACUCUGAGACAGGUGCUGCAUGGCUGUCGUCAGCUCGUGUUGUGAAAUGUUGGGUUAAGUCCCGCAACGAGCGCAACCCUUAUCCUUUGUUGCCAGCGGUUCGGCCGGGAACUCAAAGGAGACUGCCGGUGAUAAACCGGAGGAAGGUGGGGAUGACGUCAAGUCAUCAUGGCCCUUACGGCCAGGGCUACACACGUGCUACAAUGGCGCAUACAAAGAGAAGCGACCUCGCGAGAGCAAGCGGACCUCAUAAAGUGCGUCGUAGUCCGGAUUGGAGUCUGCAACUCGACUCCAUGAAGUCGGAAUCGCUAGUAAUCGUAGAUCAGAAUGCUACGGUGAAUACGUUCCCGGGCCUUGUACGCACCGCCCGUCACACCAUGGGAGUGGGUUGCAAAAGAAGUAGGUAGCUUAACCUUCGGGAGGGCGCUUACCACUUUGUGAUUCAUGACUGGGGUGAAGUCGUAACAAGGUAGGCGUAGUGCU
rnacentral:rRNA from 1 species